GGGAUAAGAAACUAAAUAGGAUUCCCUCAGUAAUGGCGAAUGAACAGGGAUCAGCUCAGCAUGGAAAUUGGGGCCUUGGCCUUUGAAUUGUAGUCUCGAGAUGUAUUGCCAACGGAGGCGCAGAUGUAAGCCUCUUGGAAAAGAGCAUCAACGAGGGUGAGAGUCCCGUUUGUCAUCUGCAGACCCCCGUGCACGGCGUACCUUCCAAGAGUCGCGUUCCUCGGAAUUGGGAGCGUAAAUUGGGGUGGUAAAUUUCAUCUGAAGCUAAAUAUUGGUUCGAGACCGAUAGCAAACAAGUACCAUGAGGGAAAGGUGAAAAGGACUUUGAAAAGAGAGUUAAAAGUGCCUGAAAUUGCUGAAAGGGAAGCGAAUGGAACCAGUGCGCUUGGUGAGAUUGUCACAUGGCUUCCAUGUGGUGGUUCUUGCCUUGUGUGUCAUUGCCAGUUUGCGUUCGAGGAAAACUCCAGAGACAUGGUAGCCUGGCCCCGGCUGGGUGAAUGUGUCUGGUAGAACUCAUUCGCGUACUGUUUUCUGUGUCUGGUUGCAGUGCACUGUGCCAUCUGGGGGUGGCUGGAGAGGGAGUUUACUCCACUUCUUUGGCUAACUUCUGGGUGACCAGGGCACUUCCUUGACACAUAGACGAUGACUAAAUGGUUCUUUUCGACCCG
rnacentral:rRNA from 1 species